AUGCGCGGCCAGGUUCCCCUCCACCUCGAGCCCAUGGGGUUGCUCUGGGCCAUGGAGCCCGAUAAGCCUUUCUGGCGCCUGGUCAAGCGCGACGUGCAGAUGCCCUUCGUGGUGGAGCUGGAGGUACUGGACGGCCAGGAGCCCGAUCGCGGGUGGCUGCUGUCGCAGGCGGUGCAGGAGCUUCACUUCAUGGCUCCAGGGGCGCGGUGUUCCCUUGCGCGAGGGCCGUGUGAGCGCCAGCUCUUCCUACCUCCAGGACAUGGGCCCUAUCCUGGUAUUGUGGAUCUUUUUGGAGUUGGAGGUGGCCUUCUGGAGUAGCGAGCAAGUCUGCUGACUGGGAAGGGCUUUGCUGUCUUGGCUCUGGCUUAUUAUAACUAUGAUGACCUCCCCAAGGGCAUGGCAACCAUGCACAUAGAGUACUUUGAAGAAGCCAUGAACUACCUACUUAGUCACCCUGAGGUAAAAGGUUCAGGAAUUGGGAUUCUUGGGAUUUCCAAAAGGGGUGAACUUGGCCUUGCUAUGGCCUCCUUCCUGAAGGGCAUCAAAGCUGCUGUCUUCAUCAAUGGCUCUGUGGCUGCUGUUGGGAACACCAUAUACUACAAGGAUGAGGCUAUCCCUUCUGUGUCUCUUCUGAGAGAUGAAGUCAAAGAGACCAAAGAUGGCCUCUUGGAUGUUGUGGAAGGGUUUCAAAGCCCUUUGGUAGAGAUGAAGAGCUUCAUCCCUGUGGAAAGGUCUGACACCACCUUGCUGUUCCUUGUGGGUCAGUAUGACCACAACUGGAAGGGUGAGUUCUAUGCCGAUGAGAUCUCCAAACACUUACAGGCCCAUGGGAAGGAGAAGCCCUAAAUCAUCAGCUACCCAGAAGCGGGGCACUAUAUUGAGCCCCUUUACUUCCCUCUGUACAAGGCUGGCAUAGAAGUCCUGGUGGGUACUAAUACCACCUUUGGAGGGGAGCCUAAGCCUCAUGCCAUGGCCCAGGUGGAUGCGUGGCAGCAACUCCAGACUUUCUUCCAUAAACACCUGGGUAGUAAGAAUUAG